rnacentral:rRNA from 1 species
GACGAACGCUGGCGGCGUGCCUAAUACAUGCAAGUCGAGCGGACCAAACAGGAGCUUGCUCUUGUUUGGUUAGCGGCGGACGGGUGAGUAACACGUGGGUAACCUGCCCGUAAGACCGGGAUAACUCCGGGAAACCGGAGCUAAUACCGGAUAACACCGAAGACCGCAUGGUCUUUGGUUGAAAGGCGGCUUCGGCUGCCACUUACGGAUGGGCCCGCGGCGCAUUAGCUAGUUGGUGAGGUAACGGCUCACCAAGGCGACGAUGCGUAGCCGGCCUGAGAGGGUGACCGGCCACACUGGGACUGAGACACGGCCCAGACUCCUACGGGAGGCAGCAGUCGGGAAUCUUCCGCAAUGGCCGAAAGUCUGACGGAGCGACGCCGCGUGAGCGAAGAAGGUCUUCGGAUCGUAAAGCUCUGUUGUUAGGGAAGAAGAAGCGCCGUUCGAACAGGGCGGCGCGGUGACGGUACCUAACGAGAAAGCCCCGGCUAACUACGUG